AUUGAAUCACUUCAUUGCUCAUGUAGCCAGGCUUAUUUCCAUUCUACAUUCUUACUUUAUCUUCUUCUCUAUACCGCUAAACCAAAACUAAAUGUUAAUUAAAAUUUUCUUACCGCCGCCUGUCUUUGGAAAAAAAGGAGAGAAAAGAGAAGGAAAUAGCAGAGGGAAGAAACGAAGAAGAAGAAAACUAAAGGAAAAAUGUAAAUACAGGCCUCGGAUAGUAGGGACUUGUUGGACUUUUUUCCGACUAUUUGCAAAAAAAGGCGAGAUUUUUGGAUCUAUUUUAAAAAAAGAUAAUCGGUUCAUGUGAGAUGGGUCAUCAAACGGUCACCGCAAUUUGCCAACGAUAUCUUGCGGGGCGCACAGAAGACAACAACGUGAGGAUAAAGGAGCGAAUUGAGUAUCAGUUCCAAAGCAGUGACGUGGAUGAUUUCCGAUUCUCUAUUUUUAGCUGUCUCAUAUGUGUUGCAUUCUUCUCGGGAUUUUUUUCCCUCAUCAUUGACUAAGAAGGUGCGAUCACGAUCCUUUCCUGAGGAUCGGCACGUUUGCCUAUAGGCUUUCUGUUCCCAAGUCACCAAUACCUUUGGAGGAGACGAGGAAGGAAACAUCGAAGGAAGGCACGCAGAUGGGGGAGAGACUUCUUCGUGAAUAGGUUUUGUAAUCAGGAACGCGAGGGUGAUCUUAUCUCGCCAGUUGACUAUCCUUUAGCGCGGACGCUCGUUCCAAUUGGAAAAUUUCAAUCUUCGAGGAGAUUUUUUCAAUCAGGAGGAGGAAAAGAUUAAUUUCAAUGAAAUUGGUUUAUUUCGAUGUGUCAUUGUGGAGUCGAGCGGAGCUGAUAGCGAAUUCUGUUGUGCGUAAGGUUGCAGGAGCUGAAGACACAGGCCGGAUGCCGCCGUCGGGAUGCAGAAGAGACCGCAAGGAAAUCGUUAAAGUGAGAAUAGACUGCAGAUAUAUAUCGUAUGGCUCGGUAGAAUUCAAAGUGUAUUCCACGACAUUGUAUGUGUUACAUGCACCGGAUAGAGUUUUACCGUCAACUAUAAGGAACCAGUUUCCCAGAAGAAAAAAGAAUUAUUGUAAGUUCCGUUCAUCCGAAAUUAUGAUAAAGAAUAUUUUAAUUUUUCCAUUUUUUGAUUUGUUUUU